CGUUUUCGUUUCGUCUCACAUCUUUCUUUGUGAUCUAAAUAUAGAAAGAUAAAAACGAAAGUGCAAACCCGUGUUACAUUUCUUUACUAGUGUAUUCCAAACAGUGAAGUUUGAGGUGUGUCUGCAGCAGUCGCUUCAUCACCAAAUAAUCAAUAAUGGGAAACGGCGGGAAUGGCGGUAGUGGCGGCGGCGGCGGUGGUGGCGGUGGAGGCAUGUUAGGGGGAGGGGCCGGAGGGGCCGGGGGCAAGGGAGUGAGCUCGUAUAUGUCAGUGGGGUGCCGUGUUCCGAUGGAGGAAAUAUCCUGGCUAAAUGCCCACAUAAGAUUUUCUCCACAUCAAAGGUUCGAUCAUAACAAUCCACACCGCUAACAGCAUGCAUUGCUCAAGUGGUCAUCAGAGAAGCUUGACCGUUAUCAUUUUGAAAUCAGAAACUUUGAGUUGUACAUCUGUCAUUUCGUGGUAUUAAA